rnacentral:rRNA from 1 species
AUUGAACGCUGGCGGCAGGCUUAACACAUGCAAGUCGAACGAGUGGCGGACGGGUGAGUAAUGCUUGGGAAUCUAGCUUAUGGAGGGGGAUAACUACGGGAAACUGUAGCUAAUACCGCGUACCAUAGGCUGAGCCCAAGUGGGAUUAGGGAGUUGGUGGGGUAAAGGCUCACCAAGCCGACGAUCUCUAGCUGGUCUGAGCGGAUGACCAUGCACACUGGACAUGAGACACGGCCCAGACUCCUACGGGAGGCAGCAGUGGGUAAUUUUGGACAAUGGGGGCAACCUGAUCCAGCCCUCCCGCGUGUGAGAUGAAGGCCUUCGGGUUGUAAAGAACUUUUGGCAGGAAAGCGGUACCUGCAGAAUAAGCACCGGCUAACUACGUGCUAGCCGCCGCGGUAAUAC